GAUUUGAUCCUGGCUCAGGACGAACGCUGGCGGCGUGCUUAACACAUGCAAGUCGAACGGAAAGGCCCCUUCGGGGGUACUCGAGUGGCGAACGGGUGAGUAACACGUGGGUGAUCUGCCCUGCACUUUGGGAUAAGCCUGGGAAACUGGGUCUAAUACCGAAUAGGACCGCAUGCUUCAUGGUGUGUGGUGGAAAGCUUUUGCGGUGUGGGAUGGGCCCGCGGCCUAUCAGCUUGUUGGUGGGGUAAUGGCCUACCAAGGCGACGACGGGUAGCCGGCCUGAGAGGGUGUCCGGCCACACUGGGACUGAGAUACGGCCCAGACUCCUACGGGAGGCAGCAGUGGGGAAUAUUGCACAAUGGGCGCAAGCCUGAUGCAGCGACGCCGCGUGGGGGAUGACGGCCUUCGGGUUGUAAACCUCUUUCAGUAUCGGCGAAGCUCCAGAUUUUUCUUGGGGUGACGGUAGGUACAGAAGAAGCACCGGCCAACUAACGUGCCAGCAGC
rnacentral:rRNA from 1 species